rnacentral:rRNA from 1 species
CAGUAGCCGCGGGAAUACAGAGGGUGCGAGCGUUAAUCGGAUUUACUGGGCGUAAAGCGUGCGUAGGCGGCUUUUUAAGUCGGAUGUGAAAUCCCUGAGCUUAUCUUAGGAAUUGCAUUCGAUACUGGGAAGCUAGAGUAUGGGAGAGGAUGGUAGAAUUCCAGGUGUAGCGGUGAAAUGCGUAGAGAUCUGGAGGAAUACCGAUGGCGAAGGCAGCCAUCUGGCCUAAUACUGACGCUGAGGUACGAAAGCAUGGGGAGCAAACAGGAUUAGAUACCCGCGUAGUCCCUGUCUCUUAUAC